AUUUUCUCAUUGAUUUCAAGGAGAGUUGCACUACUGCUGGUAUUUACAAAGAAGUUACCAUACUUCCACAGAGGAAAAGAAAAAGUUGAACUCCCAACAGCCGUGGUUCCAGGAGGUGAAAUGAAUUUCAAUGAGAGAUUCACCACAGCUGGUGUACGGAAACAAGUGCUUCUAACUCCAUCUGGAAAAGAGGUAGAAAAUGGAACUUCUCCCAAAGAUGCAGUCAGAAGAGGUGAAGUAAUACUGAAAGUAUGAAGUCGCAUGUCUUUCCUUCUCUGAGCAAACCUCCCAUUUAGCAGAUUGCAUUUUCCCAUUAGCUUCGAUGGAAGAUUCACUGCGGCUGAUGGAGCAGUUUGCCUUCUCCUCGUGGUGAUUUCCAUGAGAGCCUCAACCCCGCUGGUGCAUGAAGAAAGUGCUUCUAACUCCACAGGAGAAGAGAUAGAAAGUGGAACUUAUCCCAAAACAUGCAGUGAA